AACGAACGCUGGCGGCAGGCUUAACACAUGCAAGUCGAACGAGAUCUUCGGAUCUAGUGGCAGACGGGUGAGGAACACGUGGGAACAUCCCUUUCAGUUCGGAAUAACGUUGGGAAACUAACGCUAAUACCGGAUACGUCCUUCGGGAGAAAGCUUUAUCGCUGAAAGAUUGGCCCGCGUCUGAUUAGCUAUUUGGUGAGGGAAUAGCUCAACAAGGCUACGAUCAGUGGCCGACCUGAGAGGGUGAUCAGCCACAUUGGAACUGAGACACUGUCCAAACUCCUACGGGAGGCAGCAGUGGGGAAUAUUGCACAAUGGGCGAAAGCCUGAUGCAGCAACGCCGCGUGAGCGAUGAAGGCCUUCGGGUCGUAAAGCUCUGUCCUCAAGGAAGAUAAUGACGGUACUUGAGGAGGAAGCCCCGGCUAACUACGUGCCAGCAGCCGCCGUAA
rnacentral:rRNA from 1 species